rnacentral:rRNA from 1 species
UACGUAGGGACCAAGCGUUGUUCGGAUUUACUGGGCGUACAGGGAGCGUAGGCGGUUGGAUAAGCCCUCCGUGAAAUCUCCAGGCUUAACCUGGAAAGUGCAGAGGGGACUGUUCAGCUAGAGGAUGGGAGAGGAGCGCGGAAUUCCCGGUGUAGCGGUGAAAUGCGUAGAGAUCGGGAGGAACACCAGUGGCGAAGGCGGCCGGCUGGGGGUGACCUGACGCUGAGGCGCGAAAGCGUGGGGAGCGAACCGG